rnacentral:tRNA from 1 species
GGAAACACCAGGGCUUGCCGAGCCCUUGCCCCGGGUUCAAAUCCCGGCCGGCGCA